CCUACGGGAGGCAGCAGUGGGGAAUUUUGGACAAUGGGCGCAAGCCUGAUCCAGCAAUGCCGCGUGAGUGAAGAAGGCCUUCGGGUUGUAAAGCUCUUUUGUCAGGGAAGAAACGGUGGAGGCUAAUAUCCUUUGCUAAUGACGGUACCUGAAGAAUAAGCACCGGCUAACUACGUGCCAGCAGCCGCGGUAAUACGUAGGGUGCAAGCGUUAAUCGGAAUUACUGGGCGUAAAGCGUGCGCAGGCGGUUUUGUAAGUUUGUCGUGAAAUCCCCGGGCUCAACCUGGGAAUGGCGAUGAAGACUGCAAGGCUAGAAUCUGGCAGAGGGGGGUAGAAUUCCACGUGUAGCAGUGAAAUGCGUAGAGAUGUGGAGGAACACCGAUGGCGAAGGCAGCCCCCUGGGUCAAGAUUGACGCUCAUGCACGAAAGCGUGGGGAGCAAACAGGAUUAGAUACCCUGGUAGUCCACGCCCUAAACGAUGUCUACUAGUUGUCGGGUUUUAAUUAACUUGGUAACGCAGCUAACGCGUGAAGUAGACCGCCUGGGGAGUACGGUGCAAGAUUAAAACUCAAAUGAAUUGACGG
rnacentral:rRNA from 1 species